CCAUUCCACCUCCCUCCUUCCUAGGGACUGCCUGGGCCACUUCUCUCCUCUCCUCAACCCGAAGAGUGGACGCUAGCUGCUCCACCCAACGCCCCAGAGAGCAACUGCUUCCAUCCAGAGGACCCCAGAGCCCAAUCCCACCUGCAGAUCACCCUCUGAUGGUCAGCACUGCUUCUACCUUGGACAAGGCAGAGCCUGGACCGUGAGGGUCAGGCAAGGUGGAGGCUGCCCCUGCUUCCUUUGGAGAAACGGGACCAGGCAGGUGAGACAACACCACUGGAAGCAGCCAGCAGGAACCCGACCCGAGACCCUCCGUGGCAUCUGGAGUGGAGGGUAGGAUGGGUCACUGGUUUCAUGGCCUCAGCCAGAAGCUGAGGGAAGGAUGACGGUGAGAAGAGGCAGCUUUACAGGUGACGGAGGGGCUGGGGACUUUUGCUGUAGAGGAUUCUGCCUUUAGGAAGGAGGCGGCAGAUGCCAGGGACUGUGGACGAUAAGCCUGUGAGUCACUCCAAAGCCCAGGGCUCUUAUACUGCUAUAAAAGGCACAGUGGCACCAGACUGCUGCCCCCAGGGUGCACCACCACACCAUCUGCUGCUGUCAACACACCCAGGUGGGGCUGACAGAGGACCUGCGGUGGGCUAGAGGAGCAAGGAGGGCAGGGGCCUGUCUGCUCAACUGAGAAGAGCCAGGGCACUGUGCACACGGACGUGGGACACAGACCAGCACAGAUACAGCCCCCACCCCCAGGCUGCGACGGCCUCUUCCCACAUGGCAGUCUGGUCCCACAUUCCCAGGCCCCUCCCAACCGUGCUGCCCACAGCUGGCUCAGACGGAUAGCACAGCUGAUACCUCAGAGCUGGUCCAGCCUGGCCAGGACUCUAAUCUUAAAGACAACCACCAUUAAGUAAACACAUUUAAAGCUUUACAGAACAAACCUGUUCUUUACUAUUCGGUUCAUUAUGAACUUGAAUCACGGUAGUUUGAAAGCUACACCCCAACUGAGGCCUCGACAGCAGCAUCUGUGUUCAGUGAUUAACUUACUAUAUUCUGUGCAAAUCAUAAGUCCCAUACCUUCACAAGCUUCAGAAUUUCCCUGGUAGACGUAGCUCAGCCCUUUAUCCCCCUGUACCCAGUGGACAGAAAUGGCUACAGUUAUGCUCUACAAGCUCCAAAGGAGACUAUAUUCUCACUGGGGCCUUCUGCCCUGGUCCUUAUAAGGCCCAAGGAUUGGCCCUGGGCAGCAGCAGAGGCCUCAGCACCUGCAUCUGCCACCUCCGUCUGGCAGCGCUUCUUUACCAGCACAGUGACAGCUGGGGCACGGCUUGGCGGGGCACCCUGCUGUGGGCAGGCCACACAGCACAGCUGUGGUUUUCCUCAGAGGCCCUUCUGAUCCGCAACCUGACCCAUCAGGAAGACCACCUUUUUCUGAGCAGGAUCUGAACUGUGGAGGCUGGUGCCUAGAGCUUGCUAUUUUUCUGGAACUGGGCCACCAGGCUGAGGACCUGCUCAGAAGCUUUGAUGUUCUUGGAGCCCAGGUAGGCGAUGCUGUUGGGGCCCAUCUCCUCCAGGUAGUAGCGGUAGUUGACCAUGAGGCCACAUGAGCCAGUGAGGCCCCUGAGGCUGCUGUCAGCCAUCCAG